AGUCCUCGACACUGCAGUGCUUCCGCGCCGUCCGCACCCCGCUGGCGCCUGCGCGCUACAUUUUGCCAGCC
rnacentral:sRNA from 1 species